GGGGGUCUAGCUCAAAUGGUAGAGCGCUCGCUUAGCAGUCUCAUUUGUUGCGCUGUCGCAACUGAGCCUAAUAUGCGAGAGGCACGGGGAUCGAUACCCCGGACCUCCA